GAACUAUCAAUCUCUCCGCAAGGAUCCAAACAGUCUGUCCAAUCUUGAUCAGGACCUCCCGAAUUAUGCUCAGCACACCGUGCCUAUCUUCUCAUUACCCCAAGAAUGGUCGUGGUGUGAGUCGUGGUGUGGUACAGCCACUAAAUCCAAGGCAAAGACCAUUGAUCUUUGCAACAAUCCUAUGACGAAGGAACCAAAGCUUCAGGGUGCGAAGAGAAUAGUUUCUGAAUGGCCUGAUCUUGACUUAGAGGCAAGAACGUUUACUGCGAAAAUUCUCAGAGAUGAAUCUGAGCUUCAAGAAGCAAUGGCUUCAGAUAAGUCGCAGGGUUCACAGGGUGAUGAGUCAUCGGUAGAGGAACUUGACCUUGAAUCCAAGUCAGAGCUGUAAGGCAUGGUUUCAUUCAGCCAUGACAUGAUUUAUCCCAACUGUAAUCCUGAUCGAGGAUGGAAGGGUAACUAUCAGCAAAGAACGUUUUGGAAUUGCAUCAACUAAGGAAAAACAAGUGGUUAUGGUGUGCGUAUGCUGUCGAGAUUGGGGAUGGAGAUGCACACCAUCAAGAAAAUGAGGUCAUGGGGAGGCUGUGAGAAAGGCAAGGUAGCGCCGGUAGAGAUUUAAAAUUUUCUCAAGAAUUUUAGAGAGAAGCGAGCUAUUCAUUUUGCUUAGUUUUUGUUAAUCGACCGGGUAAUCUUAUUUUAACUGGGCUAUUUGCAAAUGCGUGAAAUAACACGCUUGAUUGUGGAAUUUCUUCCUCGCUGAUAAAACCACAGGUGAAAAGCCAA